UAGGGAAUCUUCCACAAUGGGCGCAAGCCUGAUGGAGCAACACCGCGUGAGUGAAGAAGGGUUUCGGCUCGUAAAGCUCUGUUGUAUGGGAAGAAAUGCUAGAAUAGGGAAUGAUUCUAGUUCGACGGUACCAUACCAGAAAGGGACGGCUAAAUACGUGCCAU
rnacentral:rRNA from 1 species